rnacentral:rRNA from 1 species
CUUGAUGAACGCUAGCUACAGGCUUAACACAUGCAAGUCGAGGGGCAGCAUGGUCUUAGCUUGCUAAGGCCGAUGGCGACCGGCGCACGGGUGAGUAACACGUAUCCAACCUGCCGUCUACUCUUGGACAGCCUUCUGAAAGGAAGAUUAAUACAAGAUGGCAUCAUGAGUCCGCAUGUUCACAUGAUUAAAGGUAUUCCGGUAGACGAUGGGGAUGCGUUCCAUUAGAUAGUAGGCGGGGUAACGGCCCACCUAGUCUUCGAUGGAUAGGGGUUCUGAGAGGAAGGUCCCCCACAUUGGAACUGAGACACGGUCCAAACUCCUACGGGAGGCAGCAGUGAGGAAUAUUGGUCAAUGGGCGAGAGCCUGAACCAGCCAAGUAGCGUGAAGGAUGACUGCCCUAUGGGUUGUAAACUUCUUUUAUAAAGGAAUAAAGUCGGGUAUGGAUACCCGUUUGCAUGUACUUUAUGAAUAAGGAUCGGCUAACUCCGUGCCAGCAGCCGCGGUAAUACGGAGGAUCCGAGCGUUAUCCGGAUUUAUUGGGUUUAAAGGGAGCGUAGAUGGAUGUUUAAGUCAGUUGUGAAAGUUUGCGGCUCAACCGUAAAAUUGCAGUUGAUACUGGAUAUCUUGAGUGCAGUUGAGGCAGGCGGAAUUCGUGGUGUAGCGGUGAAAUGCUUAGAUAUCACGAAGAACUCCGAUUGCGAAGGCAGCCUGCUAAGCUGCAACUGACAUUGAGGCUCGAAAGUGUGGGUAUCAAACAGGAUUAGAUACCCUGGUAGUCCACACGGUAAACGAUGAAUACUCGCUGUUUGCGAUAUACUGCAAGCGGCCAAGCGAAAGCGUUAAGUAUUCCACCUGGGGAGUACGCCGGCAACGGUGAAACUCAAAGGAAUUGACGGGGGCCCGCACAAGCGGAGGAACAUGUGGUUUAAUUCGAUGAUACGCGAGGAACCUUACCCGGGCUUAAAUUGCAGAUGAAUUACGGUGAAAGCCGUAAGCCGCAAGGCAUCUGUGAAGGUGCUGCAUGGUUGUCGUCAGCUCGUGCCGUGAGGUGUCGGCUUAAGUGCCAUAACGAGCGCAACCCUUGUUGUCAGUUACUAACAGGUUCCGCUGAGGACUCUGACAAGACUGCCAUCGUAAGAUGUGAGGAAGGUGGGGAUGACGUCAAAUCAGCACGGCCCUUACGUCCGGGGCUACACACGUGUUACAAUGGGGGGUACAGAGGGCCGCUACCACGCGAGUGGAUGCCAAUCCCCAAAACCUCUCUCAGUUCGGACUGGAGUCUGCAACCCGACUCCACGAAGCUGGAUUCGCUAGUAAUCGCGCAUCAGCCACGGCGCGGUGAAUACGUUCCCGGGCCUUGUACACACCGCCCGUCAAGCCAUGGGAGCCGGGGGUACCUGAAGUGCGUAACCGCGAGGAGCGCCCUAGGGU